AGGACAAACGCUGGCGGCGUGCCUAAGACAUGCAAGUCGAACGGUGGGGCUUGCCCCACAGUGGCGGACGGGUGAGGAACGCGUGGGCAACCUGCCCCGGGGUGGGGGAUAACACUCAGAAAUGGGUGCUAAGACCGCAUACGAGUGGGGGACGGAAGGUUCCUUAGGGAAAGCCUUCGGGCUGCCCUGGGAGGGGCCCGCGUCGGAUUAGCUAGUUGGUGUGGUAACGGCGCACCAAGGCUGCGAUCCGUAGCUGGUCUGAGAGGACGACCAGCCACACUGGGACUGAGACACGGCCCAGACUCCUACGGGAGGCAGCAGUUAGGGAAUUUUCACAAUGGGCGCAAGCCUGAUGGAGUGACGCCGCGUGCAGGACGACGCCUUUCGGGGUGUAAACUGCUUUUCUUCGGGACGAGAACGGACGGUACCGGAGGAAGAAGCCUCGGCUAACUACGUGCCAGCAGCCGC
rnacentral:rRNA from 1 species